UACGUAGGGUGCAAGCGUUAAUCGGAAUUACUGGGCGUAAAGCGUGCGCAGGCGGUUGUGCAAGACAGGUGUGAAAUCCCCGAGCUCAACUUGGGAACUGCACUUGUGACUGCACGGCUAGAGUACGGUAGAGGGGAGUGGAAUUCCGCGUGUAGCAGUGAAAUGCGUAGAUAUGCGGAGGAACACCGAUGGCGAAGGCAGCUCCCUGGACCUGUACUGACGCUCAUGCACGAAAGCGUGGGGAGCAAACAGGAUUAGAUACCCUGGUAGUCCACGCCCUAAACGAUGUCAACUGGUUGUUGGGAGGGUUUCUUCUCAGUAACGUAGCUAACGCGUGAAGUUGACCGCCUGGGGAGUACGGCCGCAAGGUUGAA
rnacentral:rRNA from 1 species